AGCGUACACGGUGGAUGCCCUGGCAGUCAGAGGCGAUGAAGGACGUGCUAAUCUGCGAUAAGCGUCGGUGAGGUGAUAUGAACCGUUAUAACCGGCGAUUUCCGAAUGGGGAAACCCAGUGUGUUUCGACACACUAUCAUUAACUGAAUCCAUAGGUUAAUGAGGCGAACCGGGGGAACUGAAACAUCUAAGUACCCCGAGGAAAAGAAAUCAACCGAGAUUCCCCCAGUAGCGGCGAGCGAACGGGGAGGAGCCCAGAGCCUGAAUCAGUGUGUGUGUUAGUGGAAGCGUCUGGAAAGGCGCGCGAUACAGGGUGACAGCCCCGUACACAAAAAUGCACAUAUUGUGAGCUCGAUGAGUAGGGCGGGACACGUGGUAUCCUGUCUGAAUAUGGGGGGACCAUCCUCCAAGGCUAAAUACUCCUGACUGACCGAUAGUGAACCAGUACCGUGAGGGAAAGGCGAAAAGAACCCCGGCGAGGGGAGUGAAAAAGAACCUGAAACCGUGUACGUACAAGCAGUGGGAGCCUCUUAAUGGGGUGACUGCGUACCUUUUGUAUAAUGGGUCAGCGACUUAUAUUCUGUAGCAAGGUUAACCGAAUAGGGGAGCCGAAGGGAAACCGAGUCUUAACUGGGCGUUAAGUUGCAGGGUAUAGACCCGAAACCCGGUGAUCUAGCCAUGGGCAGGUUGAAGGUUGGGUAACACUAACUGGAGGACCGAACCGACUAAUGUUGAAAAAUUAGCGGAUGACUUGUGGCUGGGGGUGAAAGGCCAAUCAAACCGGGAGAUAGCUGGUUCUCCCCGAAAGCUAUUUAGGUAGCGCCUCGUGAAUUCAUCUCCGGGGGUAGAGCACUGUUUCGGCAAGGGGGUCAUCCCGACUUACCAACCCGAUGCAAACUGCGAAUACCGGAGAAUGUUAUCACGGGAGACACACGGCGGGUGCUAACGUCCGUCGUGAAGAGGGAAACAACCCAGACCGCCAGCUAAGGUCCCAAAGUCAUGGUUAAGUGGGAAACGAUGUGGGAAGGCCCAGACAGCCAGGAUGUUGGCUUAGAAGCAGCCAUCAUUUAAAGAAAGCGUAAUAGCUCACUGGUCGAGUCGGCCUGCGCGGAAGAUGUAACGGGGCUAAACCAUGCACCGAAGCUGCGGCAGCGACACUAUGUGUUGUUGGGUAGGGGAGCGUUCUGUAAGCCUGUGAAGGUGGCCUGUGAGGGUUGCUGGAGGUAUCAGAAGUGCGAAUGCUGACAUAAGUAACGAUAAAGCGGGUGAAAAGCCCGCUCGCCGGAAGACCAAGGGUUCCUGUCCAACGUUAAUCGGGGCAGGGUGAGUCGACCCCUAAGGCGAGGCCGAAAGGCGUAGUCGAUGGGAAACAGGUUAAUAUUCCUGUACUUGGUGUUACUGCGAAGGGGGGACGGAGAAGGCUAUGUUGGCCGGGCGACGGUUGUCCCGGUUUAAGCGUGUAGGCUGGUUUUCCAGGCAAAUCCGGAGAAUCAAGGCUGAGGCGUGAUGACGAGGCACUACGGUGCUGAAGCAACAAAUGCCCUGCUUCCAGGAAAAGCCUCUAAGCAUCAGGUAACAUCAAAUCGUACCCCAAACCGACACAGGUGGUCAGGUAGAGAAUACCAAGGCGCUUGAGAGAACUCGGGUGAAGGAACUAGGCAAAAUGGUGCCGUAACUUCGGGAGAAGGCACGCUGAUAUGUAGGUGAAGCGACUUGCUCGUGGAGCUGAAAUCAGUCGAAGAUACCAGCUGGCUGCAACUGUUUAUUAAAAACACAGCACUGUGCAAACACGAAAGUGGACGUAUACGGUGUGACGCCUGCCCGGUGCCGGAAGGUUAAUUGAUGGGGUUAGCGGCAACGCGAAGCUCUUGAUCGAAGCCCCGGUAAACGGCGGCCGUAACUAUAACGGUCCUAAGGUAGCGAAAUUCCUUGUCGGGUAAGUUCCGACCUGCACGAAUGGCGUAAUGAUGGCCAGGCUGUCUCCACCCGAGACUCAGUGAAAUUGAACUCGCUGUGAAGAUGCAGUGUACCCGCGGCAAGACGGAAAGACCCCGUGAACCUUUACUAUAGCUUGACACUGAACAUUGAGCCUUGAUGUGUAGGAUAGGUGGGAGGCUUUGAAGUGUGGACGCCAGUCUGCAUGGAGCCGGCCUUGAAAUACCACCCUUUAAUGUUUGAUGUUCUAACGUGGGCCCCUAAUCGGGGUUGCGGACAGUGUCUGGUGGGUAGUUUGACUGGGGCGGUCUCCUCCUAAAGAGUAACGGAGGAGCACGAAGGUUGGCUAAUCCUGGUCGGACAUCAGGAGGUUAGUGCAAUGGCAUAAGCCAGCUUGACUGCGAGCGUGACGGCGCGAGCAGGUGCGAAAGCAGGUCAUAGUGAUCCGGUGGUUCUGAAUGGAAGGGCCAUCGCUCAACGGAUAAAAGGUACUCCGGGGAUAACAGGCUGAUACCGCCCAAGAGUUCAUAUCGACGGCGGUGUUUGGCACCUCGAUGUCGGCUCAUCACAUCCUGGGGCUGAAGUAGGUCCCAAGGGUAUGGCUGUUCGCCAUUUAAAGUGGUACGCGAGCUGGGUUUAGAACGUCGUGAGACAGUUCGGUCCCUAUCUGCCGUGGGCGCUGGAGAACUGAGGGGGGCUGCUCCUAGUACGAGAGGACCGGAGUGGACGCAUCACUGGUGUUCGGGUUGUCAUGCCAAUGGCACUGCCCGGUAGCUAAAUGCGGAAGAGAUAAGUGCUGAAAGCAUCUAAGCACGAAACUUGCCCCGAGAUGAGUUCU
rnacentral:rRNA from 1 species